rnacentral:rRNA from 1 species
UACGUAGGUGGCAAGCGUUUAUCCGGAAUUACUGGGCGUAAAGCGUGCGCAGGCGGUUCUCCAAGUCCGUUGUGAAAGCCCCGGGCUCAACCUGGGAAUGGCAGUGGAAACUAGGGGACUUGAAUCUGGCAGAGGGGGGUGGAAUUCCACGUGUAGCAGUGAAAUGCGUAGAGAUGUGGAGGAACACCGAUGGCGAAGGCAGCCCCCUGGGCUGAGAUUGACGCUCAGGCACGAAAGCGUGGGGAGCAAACAGGGA